CCUACGGGAGGCAGCAGUGGGGAAUAUUGGACAAUGGGCGAAAGCCUGAUCCAGCAAUGCCGCGUGAGUGAUGAAGGCCUUCGGGUCGUAAAGCUCUUUUACCAGGGAUGAUAAUGACAGUACCUGGAGAAUAAGCUCCGGCUAACUCCGUGCCAGCAGCCGCGGUAAUACGGAGGGAGCUAGCGUUGUUCGGAAUUACUGGGCGUAAAGAGUACGUAGGCGGUUAUUCAAGUCAGAGGUGAAAGCCCGGGGCUCAACCCCGGAACUGCCUUUGAAACUAGAUAACUAGAGUCUUGGAGAGGUUAGUGGAAUUCCGAGUGUAGAGGUGAAAUUCGUAGAUAUUCGGAAGAACACCAGUGGCGAAGGCGACUAACUGGACAAGUACUGACGCUGAGGUACGAAAGCGUGGGGAGCAAACAGGAUUAGAUACCCUGGUAGUCCACGCCGUAAACGAUGAUAACUAGUUGUUCGGUCACUUGGUGACUGAGUGACGCAGCUAACGCAUUAAGUUAUCCGCCUGGGGAGUACGGUCGCAAGAUUAAAACUUAAAUGAAUUGACG
rnacentral:rRNA from 1 species